rnacentral:lncRNA from 1 species
UUCAGUUUUAUUGGUUGCAUGCACAGUCAGUUAUUUCAUCCAGAAAAUCUGAAGGCCCUACAAACUAACCAGAACAGUAAGGGUUGAAACUGAAGGCCAAUUGUGAAUACUAUCCACCGGGAGCGUCUUAUGAAUUGACUCAUGUUCCUCAGAUAAUAAAUAACACUAAAAGACACCAGUUAGCUUCUGACCUCAAGGAGUGCUACUUUCAUCUCCUGCAAGCUUUGAAAAGAGAUCUGAUACCUGACAACAUCUUGACAAAAGCACAUCCCAUUUUCUGAUGGAAGCUGAACCAAAAUUAUUGAUGUCGCUAGUGAUUCAGGGUACUCUAGAUUGUUUGGAGUCCAAUAUAAAUACAUUUAAUAGACAAAAAAAUUGCUGCCUUAAUCUAAGCACAAAUGACCUUAGUAGAUAGAUACUGCUUAUCCCGCUGAUGCAUUAGAGCUAUACUAGUUCUACUCCUAAUUCUUGAGAAGCUGUGUUUUCUCUAAUUUAUUUCCAUUUUGAUCUUCACCUAUAGUUUUGCUAGGUUUAUUUGUAACUUCUGUAUCCAUGAAUAAAUAAUCGCUGUGGCUUUAGCAUUAAAUAAUAUCUAUCUAUUUAAUAUUUUGAGUCAUCAUUUUUAUUGUGGCUAAUGAUAAUGACUGGGAAU